ensembl:lncRNA
UGUUCCUGUAUGAAGAGAGCAAUCCAAGCACCCUUUGACUCCCUGGAGAAUAGCUACCACCUCUGGGAGGAAACUGCUUCUAUCUCAAGGCCUUGCAGAAUGGAAGUGCAGAAGGACCCAUCUGAGGAACAAAGAUUAUGAUUACGCUUUGGAAACACCAGGGAAGAAAACAUGAAAAACAGAUUUGAGAGAAGCACAUAAAUGGAAAACAAAGGCUGGCAACUUUGAUACGCCAUAUGGAGUGACGGGGUGACAGAAGAAGAAGUAAAAUAGUCCAAACACUGAAGACUUGGUACAAUAAGACAAAAAAGUGUGAGAAUCCAGGCAGGAUGCUUUAGGAUGGAGAAGAGGGAAGGUAAGGGAAAUGCAAGCUUGUGCAGGGGUACAGCUGCAGCUGGGAUAUGAACUUUAUGAUUAAGCACUUCUCACAGCUGUGUGGAAGUUCCACACAACAUUACAGAGACAUCUAGCUGAAAAAUGCCAAAAGGACAAGAAAAUAGUAAAGGAGAAGUGUCUUAAGUGGCCAGCAGAGUGGAAAUAUUUUAUUAAGUUGGGGGUAAUGUCUGAGUGAAGUUUGUGUUGUCUUUCC